UGAUGGCCCGUUUGCACCACUGGAGUAGUGCAAAGCGUCCCAAUUGGCACCGAGGUUCAGCCACAUACAGUAUUGUGCAUGGCAUUUUACAGAGUCAUUCAUAGUUUCUGGACCUGAUUCUUCUACACCUGAACAGUGCAAAAUGGGCUCGAUCAUCAGUUGUGCUUGGAGUCUGUUUGGCACUGUUGAGAAGAGGGGCAGUUUUCAAACGGAGACACCAAAGGUAAAGGAUGAGAGAUCUAAAGUCUGGCUCAGUUGGAACAUAAACAAGUAAAUAUAAUAUAUACUACAUAGGAAGCAGCAAUGCAAGCUUCUUCACACCACUUUACCAAUGUGUCUCAGUCUUGGCCAGGCAGGAUUAAUCAUGUAUGUGCAGUGUUGUAUUAAUUUAAAUGGAA